rnacentral:miRNA from 1 species
CCUCCCUCCCAGACCCUCCGACCUCCUGGCCAGCAUCCAUGUUGAAGCUGCCUUCAACAUGGAUGCUGGCCAGGAGGUCGGAGGGUCUGGGAGGGAGGGUCUGCUG